AAAUUCAAAAUAGAAAUGAUUUGUGAAGGUGAACAUUUUCUCACCAUAGAAGCCGUAUGUAGACAUGCACGCAUAUUUAAUCUGCAGCUACGAAGUACUUUGUCACUCCUCUGGAACAUUAUUCUAAACAGAUUUAUCCCAAUUCAUACAUUCUAAGAAUCUUGUGUGAAUUGUUUACGCGGAAAUUCCAACUGUCACAUUAACAAGGAUGAACACUCUUGACUCUGCUUCGGAUUUCCCACUGAUAAUUGUAUCGAGUGAUGAAAGAGCUGACGGCGACAUUUUAAUGUAUGAUUGGCUUGGACCAUUGGAAUGAAGUUAUUUUAUGGUGCCACCACUUGGGAUAGUAUUAGCUGCAAAUAUAGACUUGUACUCAGCACUUACUGCCUUUGAGAAGUAUGGGAUCCUUUUUGUGCCAACACCUACCGUGACACAGAAUCUUGGUUUAUACAGUCUCAUCGGAGUAUCCUGUCUCAAGCAUUUAGCAAUGGGAUUGGAACCUGCGACGUGUGACUGUGACUGUCAUCUGAGUACUGAAAUUUGCUGCCAAGCAUGAUCAUGAUUUGCCAGAAGAGCAUCUGUUUGGAGAUCAGAUGACAAAGUAUAAACAGCGUAAUGUAAUUGAAACUGUCAUGUGAAACAGUCUCAGUUUAAGAAGAUGACUUUAAAUAUAGCAUAUUCGAAUUUUGAUUUGAGAAAAAGACAUAAAUCCACAAUUUGACAAAUAUGAACAUAUCAACUGCUUUCAGUUUUUCAAGAGAAAUAGAUUUUGUUACAGAAUCUAGUAUGUUCAGUUUGGAAUAAAUGUUCUUUUUAAAUGUGUCAGAUCUUGCAUGUUUACAUAGACCUGUAUUAAGGUCUUUCGUUUCUAAGGGAAGGCAUACCAAUGCUAAUGGUUAAGAUGAUAAAGCUCUGUUUUCAGCAGCAAAAGAUAUAAUAUGUGU